rnacentral:rRNA from 1 species
UACGUAGGGUCCGAGCGUUGUCCGGAAUUAUUGGGCGUAAAGGGUUCGUAGGCGGUUCGUCACGUCGGGAGUGAAAACUCGGGGCUUAACCCCGAGCCUGCUUCCGAUACGGGCAGACUAGAGGUAGGCAGGGGAGAGCGGAACUCCUGGUGUAGCGGUGGAAUGCGCAGAUAUCAGGAAGAACACCGAUGGCGAAGGCAGUUCUCUGGGCCGUAACUGACGCUGAGGAGCGAAAGCGUGGGGAGCGAACAGG